ensembl:lncRNA
UUCACAACUAAACAAAGAAAUAUGGAUAACCUAGUGCGUUUGAGCCACAAUAUGACUUUCAAUGCAAAUGUGGUCUAAUCCAUGAAUGAGUAACAGCAAAUGGUUACUUAGGAAAACACAAUAAUAUAAAUAUAAAAACAGGUAUUGUAACUACCAUUAAGCAGAAAAUAAUUAGGAUAAAGUAAACAUUGUGUUAGCGAAACCUAACUGUUAAAUAUAAAAAAUAUGUAGUUUGUACACGCUUGUAACAUGAAUAAGUGAAUAACGUUCGCAAAUUUCACAUCAUGGGACGAACCGGUCUCUCUUAUGACCCAACCAGACCACGGACCAUAUUUGGAACUUCCUUCACGUUCGCUCUUUACGUUCGUACGUUCGGGAGCCGAUUCGGAUGGCGCCAGUCGACAGAGAAAACUACACCUCCUGGCCUGUUGGUGGACACAGUUGACAUUUAUUUUAAACAGAGAGCUGCACCUGUCACUCUGAGGAGGAUGAUGGAGCAAAGCAAAGAACAACAAGCAACUGCCUUAAGCUUAGACAACACAGACAGACAGUCUCAGCCCCAGACACCCUCAUCUGCCUCCCACUGCGAUCAGCCCAGCUCGCCAGGAUUUCAAUCACAGGGCCAAAUGAAAUUAUUAAGAGGUGUUAAACUUAUUAAUCAUUAAAUUAGCUAAAUGAUCCUCCAAGUACAGCCCAGAUGAAUGACAUGCCAUUCUCUAAUGUAAUUUGCCUCUCCAGCAGGUGAAGGUCAGGAGACGGCCCACAGCAUGGCAGUUGAAGGCUUCUUUUUCUACAUUUUUAAAAAAUUCUCAAUUCAUCUUUCUUUCUUCAUGUCCACUCCGAACCUUUCUCUGAGUUAUGAAGGAAGACUGAGAAUAUUUACACCGCACAAUAUGCUUAGAAAAUACAAAAUGCAGUACUGAAUGUGGCUGCACAAGCAGUGACAGAAACGAGGAAUGCAAAAAACAAAAUAACUUGAUAAAGAAGGAAAUACAUUUUAUGUAUACCUGACACUUUCUGUCAUCAUUUCCCUUUUGAUUAUAGACAUGUACCAAAUCAGCUCUCAUUUUUCGGUUUCCUUCUUAUCUUGAUUUGAUUGGUGGGAAAGAAGGCAAGCAUUAUGUGAAACAUCCCUCCUACGUAACACCUAUGUUCUCUGUGUUGAGUAUGCGGUGACCUUCUCUUGAUAUCAUAUAUAUUAACAUCCCAUGAGAACUAGAAUACAGAGACUACUUCAGUAGUUCAGAGUUCAUGUCAGCGAUCUCCUGAUAUCUGAUUCACUGUUCAGGAGCUCAAAGUGUCAGCAUUCACUGAUGUAGAUUUAAGUGGUUUUAAUAGAAAUACAAAAAAUGUAAAUAAUUAUCAUCAUGACAUGCAUUUUUUUUUUUUACCUCUAGUUUGAUAGCAUCUCCACAUUCAGCGCUCUGUUGGUAUCGUUUCCUUUAGUCAUUUACACAGUGAUAUUAUGAGCGCUUUCUCCUCUCCCCUUUCUGAUUUAUCUUUAGUGUAACAUAGCAGAGCCAUACAAAAUACGACAAGGCAAUCAGUGAAGUUAUUACAGAAUUUACAGAAGGCUAACAAAGCGUACAUCUGGUCCACCAAUUACAGCUGCAGUUAAGGUCAGUGCUGUGGAUGAGCAGGCUGAGUGGAUGGGGGUUGGUUUGAGGAGGGGACGCACAAGGUCAAGUCAGCUAAGUAUAAAAGGCUUGGUACUGAGAAGCUCUUCAAAAUUGAGAAUUUAAAUUUCAGCUUCACUUUCACUUCAAUGUGUGAUUUUUCCCGCUGUUGCUGACAUUCAAGACACUGCUAUGGACAUGUGAUCAAAAACCAGGUAGCCCCAUAGAUGUCCUUGCUUGUUCAUACAGGUCACAAAAAUGUUUCUGCUUACUUGCAUAUUAUACAUCUUCCCACCACCAUCCAUUCCUAUGCAAUGUUUGCUGCCAUACCUGUAUAUAUGUGUGUGUGUGUGUGUGUGUGUGUGUGUGUGUGUGUGUGUGUGUGUGUGUGUGUGUGUGUGUGUGUGUGAGACAUACAUGCCAGUAGUGCAGAUUACAGUCCCGAGGGAUUUAAAUAUCAUUUUAAUUAAUCUGCUCACCUGAAUUUAAUGAGACAUGUCCAAGGGGCUGUAUGCAUGUGUGAAUAUGUGCAUGCGUGUGUCCGUAUAUGAGUACCUCGGAGUGAGAGAAGGUGUGUAUGCGCGCAUGUGCAUCUAUAUGUUCAAGUGUGCAUGCCUGUGACUAAUGAAGUUCAUUGCUGGACUUUAAAUUGCCUCCUUCAUUUGGUCUUUGCAAAUUUGCAUAUAUUACCUGUACAUCAGAAAGACAGCGACAAGAUGAAAGUGGGAUCAAUGACAAGGAGACUGUGUGUGUUUACCUUUGAAUGAGAGCUCCUCCACAAGGAAAACUGCACUACUUUAUAUAACAAAUGAGUAUCUAAAAAUCAAUUCCAUCUGAUAUUAUUACUAUUAUAAUUAUAUAAUUAGCUGGGGAUCAAUAUGACAUUGAUUCCAAUGCAAACAAGGGAUUAGAGCUUUCUCUGUUCUCUGGACAGUUCAGCAGACAUGAUCUGGACAUGUUCGACAGGCUGACCAGCUGGCCUGUACAACCUUGACCAAGUUUACAUCAAUACGCGAUUGAACAGAACACAGAGGUUAUGGGAAAAUAUAGAGUUAGAAGUAACCAAAAGGAAACGUCUUUUAACAUCAUGUCAAUAUCACAUUCAGACUUUGGCCUAACCGUGUGAUUUGUACUGAUGGGAUGGUUCAUGAUAGCACAAACUCUGCUGAAAGAGUCAUAACAAGUUAAAGAGUAGAAAGUUGCAGUGCGGAUCGUGAC